GAAGAAUUAGUUAAAUAAUAAUAUUACUUUGUCAAAGUAAAGUAACUAGUUAAACUCUUGUAUUCUUCC
rnacentral:tRNA from 1 species